rnacentral:rRNA from 1 species
UACAGAGAGUGCAAACGUUGUUCGGAUUUACUGGGCGUAAAGCGCGUGUAGGCGGCUUUGCAAGUCGGAUGUGAAAGCCCACGGCUCAACCGUGGAAGUGCAUCCGAAACUGCAUGGCUCGAGUCUCGGAGAGGAAGGUGGAAUGCUUGGUGUAGAGGUGAAAUUCGUAGAUAUCAAGCAGAACACCUGCGGCGAAGGCGGCCUUCUGGACGAUGACUGACGCUGAGACGCGAAAGCGUGGGGAGCAAACAGG